AACGAACGCUGGCGGCAGGCUUAGCACAUGCAAGUCGAGCGCCCCGCAAGAGGAGCGGCAGACGGGUGAGUAACGCGUGGGAAUCUACCCAUCUCUACGGAAUAACGCAUGGAAACGUGUGCUAAUACCGUAUACGUCCUUCGGGAGAAAGAUUUAUCGGAGAUGGAUGAGCCCGCGUUGGAUUAGCUAGUUGGUGGGGUAAAGGCCUACCAAGGCGACGAUCCAUAGCUGGUCUGAGAGGAUGAUCAGCCACACUGGGACUGAGACACGGCCCAGACUCCUACGGGAGGCAGCAGUGGGGAAUAUUGGACAAUGGGCGCAAGCCUGAUCCAGCCAUGCCGCGUGAGUGAUGAAGGCCCUAGGGUUGUAAAGCUCUUUCACCGGUGAAGAUAAUGACGGUAACCGGAGAAGAAGCCCCGGCUAACUUCGUGCCAGCAGCCGCCGUAAAAC
rnacentral:rRNA from 1 species